UGUUGAUUCUUCCCCCAGCUGCUGCCUAAUGGAGUCCGGGCGCUGGCGUCACAGGAAAUGCCUAUACUGCCCUCCUCGCUCACUUCCGGCAGCAGGACAAGGGAGAUGACAGCAGAGCCGAGUGUGCUCCACCCUGGGAAGGCGAAGUCGUCUGUAACUGCCUUCCUUCUGGGAGGAAAAACAACUCGUGGGGGCAAGAAGUUUCAAAAGCUGAGGGGUUUGAGGGCUGAAGAGAUGGCUCAGCAGAGCACUUGUUGCUCUUGCAAAGGCCCCAAGUCUUGAUUGCCACCACCUGAAGCAUCUGUAACCCUGGAUCCAGGAGAUCCAACAGGCAUCUAUGAGAGAUUGCUUGGAGUCGUUUUAUAAUUGCUAUUCCAACCUUAUGAGACACUAACCUGGGUGAACAGUGAUGCUUGUUGAAGCACAGUGUCUGAAAGGAAGAGGAAUUCACCAGGACUGGGAAGGACACAGAGGCCAGCUCAUAGCCCAUCAUUAAAGGAAGGCUGGGCAGGAGCCUGGAGGCAGGAGCUGAGGCAGAGGCCGUGGAGGGAUGCUGCCUACUGACUUGCUCAGGUGGCUUUCUUACACUCCCAGGACCACUUGCUCUGGAGUGGCACUGUUGCCAGAAGUCUGGGCCCUUCAACAUCAGUCAUUAAACAAGAGAACACGUACCACGUUUAAAGGGACAGCAUCGUCGGGCUGAGCCUACUCUCAUUCGCUAACAGCAGCAGAGCAUUGCAGAGCUGAGCAGGACACAGCAGCUCCUGGGAGUCCUGGGGUCAGAGAGCCAACAAGACACUUCAUUCUCACAUAGAUCCUCCCACCUGCUGUCCCACCACCAUCCUCCAGGAUGUCUCACCUAUAUGAGUAUGUGGACACAUUAAUGCAUUUUUAAGAUCAUGGCCAUAGAUAGGAAGGCUUCUUUCUUUUUCUGCCCAUAGCCUAGAAACAGGGUGGCUUUGUGUGCUCACUGCCCGCUCACUGCACGUGUUCAGAGGAGGUGAAGGCAUUUGAGGCUGAGCAUCAGUGCAGGCUCCCAGGGCCAGUUCUCACCACCGCACAGGGCCAGUUCAGGCCACAGCACAGCAGAGAUGCUGUUUUUGCAGUAGCUAGGGAAAGAGGGAAAGAGAAGCCUUAGCAUCCAAAGAUGGGGUCCUCAUCCCAGAACUGCCCAGCACUGUGCUGUUUCAGAUCCUCCCUGUUUCUGAGUCUGCCCUGUCUCAGGCUCCAAUUAGCUGGCCUGGUGCUUCUUACUUACUUACUUACUUACUUACUUACUUACUUACUUACUUACCUGGCUCUCUGAUUCCUCCUUACUUGCAGCCUAUCACCUUAGGUGAUCAAACACCCCCUCCUAGCUUCCUACUGCCACUCAGAACACAACUUCUGCAGCUAUCAUGUGACCUCGAAGAUGGAAAUCACUUGCUAGAGAAGACAAGGCAGAGACCCUGAUAACUUCAAAGAGCCAACCAAAUAGUGCCUAACUCUUGGUCCUUGUAAAGUGAAGAGAGUAAAUCCUUGCAUGUAAACAGCUAGAUUUUUUUUUUUCUGUUGCAUGCAGCUGAACCUGAUUAUAACAGACAAUGCGGUAGCUGAGUGUUUUUCUGUUCUCAUCUAUACUUGCAAAAGAGCAGAAAUAACUUGACUUAUGACUGAAGUCUCUUCUGGGACCUUCCCUCUGGUGGAGUUCUGCACACACUGUAAAAUCUAUAUGUGCUAGCUUUCUUACAGUUACUGAAUUUGAAGUCUUUCUUAGGAUGGGAGCAGGGUGAAGCUGGACUUUCACUAGCUGUUUAAACUUGGAGGCAGGAUGAAGAGGGCUGAUAAGGAUUCCGAGUGGGGAGACAGGCUGCUCUUACUGCCUUUGUGAAAUGCACAUUUGGAGUCUGCAAAGCCCUGGUGAGGAGCUCAGAGAAGCAGGAUAGGACCAUGCUUUUGGUUCAGUUUCCUAGCACAUCCUGGAUGGAAAGAGGAGGUGAAGUUAGAAUCACAUGGUCUUGAUCCUGGAGCCACCCUUUAGAGUUACUGGAGCAUAACUGACAGGCAGCAAACUAUGCAUGCUUAAAGUAUAUAAGCUGACAUUUUUCCUUAUGUAUAUGGGAACAUAUCAAUAUAGCCAAUAAAGUGUUUAUAAUCAUUA